rnacentral:rRNA from 1 species
CAGGACGACGCUGGCGGCGUGCUUCAUACAUGCAAGUCGAACGAGAAGUCUGGCUUCGGUCAGAGGAAAGUGGCGGACGGGUGAGUAAUGUGUAGAGAAUCUGCCCUUAGUGGGGGACAACAGUUGGAAACGACUGCUAAUACCCCAUAUGCGCGUAGCUGAGAUGCUAUUCGUGAAACUCCGGUGCUAAAGGAUGAGUCUGCAUCUGAUUAGCUAGUUGGCGGUGUAAUGGACCACCAAGGCGACGAUCAGUAGCUGGUUUGAGAGGAUGAUCAGCCACAAUGGGACUGAGACACGGCCCAUACUCCUACGGGAGGCAGCAGUAGGGAAUUUUGCGCAAUGGGGGAAACCCUGACGCAAGCAACGCCGCGUGAUUGAAUAAGCCCUUCGGGGUGUAAAGAUCUGUCAGUAGGGACGAAACUUGACGGUACCUACAGAGGAAGCAUCGGCUAACUCCGUGCCAGCAGCGGC